rnacentral:rRNA from 1 species
GAUGAACGCUGGCGGCGUGCCUAAUACAUGCCAGUCGAGCGAACAGACGAGGAGCUUGCUCCUCUGACGUUAGCGGCGGACGGGUGAGUAACACGUGGAUAACCUACCUAUAAGACUGGGAUAACUUCGGGAAACCGGAGCUAAUACCGGAUAAUAUAUUGAACCGCAUGGUUCAAUAGUGAAAGACGGUUUUGCUGUCACUUAUAGAUGGAUCCGCGCCGCAUUAGCUAGUUGGUAAGGUAACGGCUUACCAAGGCAACGAUGCGUAGCCGACCUGAGAGGGGGGUCGGCCACACUGGAACUGGGACAGGGUCCAGACUCCUACGGGAGGCAGCAGUAGGGAAUCUUCCGCAAUGGGCGAAAGCCUGACGGAGCAACGCCGCGUGAGUGAUGAAGGUCUUCGGAUCGUAAAACUCUGUUAUUAGGGAAGAACAAAUGUGUAAGUAACUAUGCACGUCUUGACGGUACCUAAUCAGAAAGCCACGGCUAACUACGUG